rnacentral:rRNA from 1 species
CGGGGUGCACCAGGCGCGAAAACUUUACAGUGCCGGCAACGGCGAUAAGGGAACCUCGAGUGCCAGGUUACAAAUCUGGCUGUCGUGAUGCCUAAAAAGCAUUGCAUAGCAAGGGCCGGGCAAGACCGGUGCCAGCCGCCGCGGUAACACCGGCGGCUCGAGUGGUAACCGUUAUUAUUGGGUCUAAAGGGUCUGUAGCCGGCCGGGUAAGUCUCUUGGGAAAUCUGGCAGCUUAACUGUCAGGCUUUCAGGAGAUACUGCCUGGCUCGAGGCCGGGAGAGGUGAGAGGUACUUCAGGGGUAGGGGUGAAAUCUUGUAAUCCUUGAAGGACCACCAGUGGCGAAGGCGUCUCACCAGAACGGACCUGACGGCAAGGGACGAAAGCUAGGGGCACGAACCGGAUUAGAUACCCGGGUAGUCCUAGCCGUAAACGAUACUCGCUAGGUGUCGGCCACGGUGCGACCGUUGUCGGUGCCGUAGGGAAGCCGUGAAGCGAGCCACCUGGGAAGUACGGCCGCAAGGCUGAAACUUAAAGGAAUCGGCGGGGGAGC